rnacentral:rRNA from 1 species
UACGUAGGGGGCUAGCGUUGUCCGGAAUCAUUGGGCGUAAAGAGCGUGUAGGCGGCCCGGUAAGUCCGCUGUGAAAGUCCAGGGCUCAACCCUGGGAUGCCGGUGGAUACUGUCGGGCUCGAGUCCGGAAGAGGCGAGUGGAAUUCCUGGUGUAGCGGUGGAAUGCGCAGAUAUCAGGAGGAACACCAAUAGCGAAGGCAGCUCGCUGGGACGUUACUGACACUGAGGCGCGAAAGCGUGGGGAGCGAACAGG